CUAGGCAUGCGCUCUACUGCUGAGUCACAACCUCAGCCCUCAUUAUUUUCUUUUUAAGUGAUGAGAAAGAAUGAGGUGGAGAAAGGCUUGACCAAGAUCACACAGUUUUAAGAGAAGAUCUGGGAUGAGAACACUAGUGUGUUUCACUCUUGCUAGACAUCAUGGCCUCUCAAGGUGGCUCUAUGUUUUUCUUUAGCUCUAAGAUAGCACUUGGCCAUGCCUCAAAGGUGCCCUGGAUCCCCUGGAUCUGUCUCUCAGGAGUCUCUUCCUAGGAUUCUUUCCUAUAAGAAUUGGGGUUGUACACAGUAGGUUAUAAACAGCUCAGAUCACUCCCCUUGCAGAUUAUGGAGAAGAUACUCAGGUGCUUAGCUUCACCUCUGUCUGGCCAUGUCUCCUGACUAGCCACCUCUUUCCCAAUACUGUUCUUUGGGCAGUAAUUGAAACUGGUCCUCAAGAUCUGCUGUUGUCUUAAUCCAUUUUCUGCUGCUCUAACAUAAUACCUGAACCUGGAUAAUUUGUAUAGAAGAAACCUAUUUCUUCUAGUUCUAGAGGCAAGGAAAUCUAAGACCCAGAUACUAGUAUCUGGUGAGAGCAUUCUCUCUGCAACACAGCAUGACAGAUAACAUCUCAUCACAGAAAGCAUGUAGCUCUCCUCCUCAUCUGCUAAAGCUCCUAUGGUCAUCAUGAGGGCCCCAGCUUAAUGACCUCAUCUAACCCUCAUUACCUCCCAAAGGCCCUACAUCCAUAUAUAAUCAACAUAAGAAUUUGGGGAUUAAGUUUCCAACAUGCGACUUUUGGGGCACAUUCAAACUAUAGCAUCUGCAUUCCCUUAGGGAUGGUUUAACAUCUGCACUGGGAACAACAUUCAGUGAAGGAGGAUCACCUACGAGCAGAGCCUGAUGUAACUGAAAGAGACCUGCAAUAAAGUUGAUCUUACAUGGUGGCUAGUGGUCGGCGCAGUCAGCACGGAGCCAUAUAGAAAUUAGAACUCUAUGGUGAACGGUUCCUGAAAGUGACUGUAGUAUUACUUUAAAACAAUUCCAGCUGCAGACAGAUGUGGAAAUGCUUUCCUGUUAAGCAUGUGAGACCUACAGCAGACACACUCAGGAUGUCUGCCUUCCCGAAAUAACGCAGGGGCAUUCCAGCUUUGUGAAAAUUUCCUGUAAUUUUCCUUGAUCCGUGUGACAGUUCGUGUCCAGAAGAGCCAUUGUCCUCAGAGGUUUAGCACUACACACAUGACUUGUAUUAUGUCUCUGCUGGACACUGUGAUCUGUGUGGCUGCUGAAACUCCACUGCAGUUUCCUCAUCUGUAAAGAAGGGGUAACAAAAAGUCUCAUCUCUUCCCUUCAGGACCAGGAUGAACACUGGCCCAAGACCUUUUCCAAACGUGGGAGCCUAAGGAUGAAGAGUUAUCUAAAACAGUUGCUAUUUCAGUCCAGAACUUGAAGUUAAAAAUGUUCGAAUGGAAAAAAAAAAGUUUAAAAAUAUAGAUGUGUAUUUUUCUAAAACCCCAUUAAGCUGUCAAGGGCCCUCACUGUGUGUUUCCUUUCCCAUCGUUGCUAAUCGGCAAGGUAUGUGUGUGCCCUAAACAGAAGGGUAGCCAGCUUCCUUCCUGCUCCUGCUCCUCUUUUUCUCCACCCUAACCGCUUCUGCUGCUGCUGGUGUUUGAGCUGUUCCCCCGCCUUGGGGACUCAGGAGCUGGGCCUCCACUACCUGGGGAUACUGCUAGAUGGAACAGCAGCCCAGCUCCUCCACAAAGGCUAGGAUGCCCACAGCACUCUGCAGUGGUACAUUUAGACUGCCUGGGCCCCACUUAUUGGAUGUAUAACUUAGAGUGCUUGAUUCCUCUGGUGUAGAAUGGGAAUUGGCAACAUUCCCUGCCUCUCCGUGUUGCUGUGAGAUGAAAUGAACAGAAUGUGUACAGCAUUGGAGCAGCACCAGGAUUCAUGUUGGUCGUUAUUAUUGCCAUUAUUAUUGCUACUGGAACUAGCACCACUAUUGUCUCGCUGCUGUCCAUUCUUUAGAAAGUCUUAGCAUAGAAAAAGUAGAAGAUGGAUGUUGAGAUCUCCUUAUCCAAGCACCUAAUUUUAAAAUAAAAGAGACAUUCUUGAAGAUGUCCAGUUAGGUAUCAUGGCAGAGCCACACAUGGCUCCAACACCCUGGCCACGGGAACACUGCUUGGGGCACCCCUUGUCCUCCUUUCUUAUCCCACUGAAUGCCUGCAACAAGGUAUUUAAUAUUUACAUUGCUUCUAAUGCUGUCCCACCAUGUGACUUAUUCUGCCUUGCUGAUGUCCAGAGGACAUAUAAUGCACACAUAACUUGCUCUGUCCCUUGCCCAUCACAGCAGCCAAAACAGAUAGAGGCCUGGAGAAGAGCUAUUUACAAGAGACAUCCCAAUGGUGAGGAUGACGUGGGGCAGUUAGAGGCAUGGGACUGGGUUCUUGACUUAGAUUCAAGGCAAUGUCAUGGGAUCCUUGUUCUUCAACUUCGCUUUUAGCUAAUGUGACAUUGUUUGAAAGUAAGCAUUUACAAAAGGAGAUUUGGGGAUAAGUUAGAAUACAGAGAGCAGUUUUUAGCCCUGGAGUCACAUGAUUCUGAUAUUUAUACAGAAAACACAGUAUCAUUUCCACCCAUUAGAUAAGAAGCAGGGGAAUCCAGGUUCCAGGGAUGCUGUGGGUAUUCUUGCAUACCAAGCUAGGGGGAUUUAAGAAGAACCCUUCAAGAAGGAGGUGCAGACAUUCCCCAAACAUUUCAGUAGCCCAUUGGCCUUAUUUCUGGUAUCUUCACCACAUCAGCUGUUUAGAAACCACGUUGACUAACUGUCAGGUGCCUGGUGGGCUGUGUGUGCUAGGAAGGACUCCAAAAUGGGUGCAUCAAGAUCCUAGCUUUUAAAAAGCUUUCAAUUUAGUUGGGGAGAUAAGCUGUUAGCAGCUUUAAUGACAGUUCAGGACAUCCCAACAUAGCACAGGGCGAGGACCAAAUAAAUUAUAGCCCCAGGCUGCUGUGACAAGGCCCUUGUGCAGAGAGUCAGGAGGAGAGAGCUCUGCUCCUAGGAAUCCCAGCGUCGUGCUCUGUGACCUGGGUCAUCCUUGACCUUUCUAAACCCUGAUGUUCAAAUCUGUGGAGGGAUGUUGACUUUUCUGGGCUCCUACAAUCCUCAGUCUGUAAAUAAUGGAUGCUCAUCCCACAGACUUGCUUCAGCUCUCUUGUUCUGUGUCUCUGAACAACAGCCUCUCAAGUUCAGGCCUAGAACUAGGCAGGAGGCAUCUAGCAUGGCCAUUCAUGUUGCCUCCCUCUUCCCAUAUCUGAUGCAUUCACACUGGGGGCAGAGAAGAAAAAGGAAUGCUGGGAACGGACAAGGGAUGCUUGAGACAGGGCUGUCUGCUGGGCGAGAGCACAGCUUAAGUCCCUUGUUCACUCUGUAAGAUGCACAGAGUCUGAAAACAAAAGCACUUUUAUUUUGGGGAAAGCAUCUUCUGAACUUGAAAGCCUCUAAUACCUUUUCUCAUUAAUUUUAUAUGAAACAAGUGUUCAGACAAAUUCUAGCACUUUCCUAUGGGUCAUUCGCUUAAGGAGAGCUUGUGUACAGCAGUGGUGUUGAUUUUUGGCACUGCCUCCCUGGGCACUGAUCUUCUGAAAUGCCUGAACCACACCCUCACCAAUACCCAUGUGCUUAUGACCCCACAAAACCAACCUAUUUUCUGCACAUGGGCAUUUACUAGCCCACUUGACGGGAAGUCUGGAAGCAGAUGGUGGUCCUGAUUGUUUAGUGGCCCAGGGAUUUUGGUGGGGCCUGGGCUCUUCCUGUCCUUCCUGUUUGCCCUCCUCAUGAUGACAAUAUGGUGGUCACAGUUGCAAGCAGCAAAUCCUUACAUGAGAGAUCAAAAGCAAAAGUGGGAAGUAACCUAAGCUCAUUUCUCUUCACAUCUCUCAUUGGUCAAUGAAGGUCUUUCCCAAGUAGGAUUCCUUUAUGUUUCAUUGGCCAGAACUCAGGUGCCAACUGCAGAUCAAUCAUUGGCAAAAAGCAAUUGCUUUGUUAACAUAGAACUCUCAAACCCAAUGGAGGUAUUAUCAUUCUGGAGUAGGUGUGAAAAUUGGUUCUCAGAGGGCUAGAAUACCUUACUCUUUUAAUAUAAAAUGUAGAUAUACACAGCAUAUCUGCGGUAUUACGUUUUCACGGGAGAAGACAAUGUAAAAAGGAUGUAUAAUGCAGAUUAUAUUAUACACAAUGGAGUAUUACUCUGCAUUAAAAAAUGACAAAAUCAUAGAAUUUGCAGGGAAAUGGAUGGCAUUAGAGCAGAUUAUGCUAAGUGAAGCUAGCCAAUCCCUAAAAAACAAAUGCCAAAUGUCUUCUUUGAUAUAAGGAGAGUAACUAAGAACAGAGUAGGGACGAAGAGCAUGAGAAGAAGAUUAACAUUAAACAGGGAUGAGAGGUGGGAGGGAAAGGGAGAGAGAAGGGAAAUUGCAUGGAAAUGGAAGGAGACCCUCAGGGUUAUACAAAAUUUCAUACAAGAGGAAGUGAGGGGAA